rnacentral:rRNA from 1 species
GACAGAGGGUGCAAACGUUGCUCGGAAUUACUGGGCGUAAAGGGCGCGUAGGCGGCCUUCUAAGUCGAACGUGAAAUCCCCGGGCUCAACCCGGGAACUGCGUCCGAUACUGGGGGGCUUGAAUCCGGGAGAGGGAUGUGGAAUUCCAGGUGUAGCGGUGAAAUGCGUAGAUAUCUGGAGGAACACCGGUGGCGAAGGCGGCAUCCUGGACCGGUAUUGACGCUGAGGCGCGAAAGCCAGGGGAGCAAACGGGG